UCUUUGUAGUACAUCUAAUACACUGGUCUUGUAAANCAGAAAAGGAGAGCAACUAACCUCCCUAAGACU
rnacentral:tRNA from 1 species